UACAGAGUAAACAAAAGGACGAAGAAACACAAAAUCUUUAGUAGAAAGCCCAAGUAAAAACAACUUAGUGAUGAAAGCAACCUUAAGAAUUGUACAUUGAAAAAUACACCAAAUUCAUUUCACAGAGAGGAUUUUCCCCACAUGGUCAACACUUCGACACAGGGAAUUAAACGUGCUGGAACCUGGUUUUGCAUGACUUGCUAGAACUGGGUUCCACUACUGUUGCAGAUGGACAGAACAGACAGCUUAUGGUCACUG
rnacentral:misc_RNA from 1 species